UGACUCGGUGAAAACAUAACG
rnacentral:piRNA from 1 species